AUGCAUUCACAAAACAUAACAAUAUCCCCAAUUAUUUAUAAUAGAAUAAAACCAAAAUCCAGGGAGGGAACAUUAAAAAAAAAGUGGGGGGGGAAAUAUUCGCCUCCUGUCUUUAAUAAAAUUUAGAUUAUUCCCUCACCGAGGCUAAAAUAAUCCCUAAUUUUAUGGCAGGACAGGAGGCUUCAUAUUUGCAAUUUUAACGCCCAAAUAGUAGAACCAGAAGCAAUAUGAGAUAGGAGGACUGAAAUAAAAGGAGAAUGGAAAAAACGAUUCCCUAAACCAAGCAGCAGUGUAGA